AAGCGCAUGCAACCAGACUUGUCGGUGGUGUUCCGCCGGUCUUCUGACCGGUCUACUCGCCGCCGACAGGCCAGCAUCGUUUGGGAUCGCCGGAUAAAGGCCCUGGAAAUGUAGCUCCUCGGAGUGUUAUAGUCCUAGGCACAAUACGGCGCAUCCCGAGCGAGGUCCGCGCUUCGGCUAGGAUGCUGGCGUAAUGGU
rnacentral:rRNA from 1 species